CUUCAGGUUGUGUGUGUGGUGGCCUGGCAUUCAAUCUGUGAGGUGGAUGCGUGUUGGAAGGACCCCUUUUGGUUUCUUUUUGCUCAGAGCUUUCUUUUAAUAAAUUCCGCUCUCCUCACCUUUCAAUGUGUCCGUAUGCCUAAUUUUUCCUGGUCCUGUGACAAGAACCUGAUUUUAGCUGAACUAAGGAGCGAAAGAUCCUGGAUCAUUUUGGUGACCCAUACUGGUACAUGAGGAAAGAAGAGUUUCCAUUAAAACAGGUUCAGGACAUGUUACUCCAAAAUUUGACAUUUUGUCUUACUGAAUAUUUUAAGCUGAAAAAACUUGAGAAAUGGCAUAUGUGGUAUGGACUUUCUGACUGUUUCCUGAAGCAGGUCACAAAACCCUCCUGUGAGAGGAACCCUCUGUGGAAGAACAGAAUAUGUCACCCCAAAAUAUGAAGAAUUGUUGAGCUGAAGAUGAUUAAGAAGAAGCGGAUGCAGGAAAGCUCUCUGCUCUCCCUCUAUUUGCUUAAAAGCAGGAUAAACACUUACAAAGACUAAAGGUAUCCUUGCCUUCUGCCAGGAAGAAAAGGGUUAACUGCCAGAACAGCUUUAGACCCUCAUUGGCCUGUAGAUGGUACUAGAGAAAUCUACAUUAACAAGCUUUAUUAAUUCGCUUUUAUCUGCCAUUUAUUUGCCCUCCCCCAAGUUACUGUCAAAGUCCUUUUCGUUGGGUCCAUUCCAACUAAGAAACUAUGGGGGACCAGGCAUGGUGGC
rnacentral:lncRNA from 1 species